rnacentral:rRNA from 1 species
GUGAGGAAUAUUGCACAAUGGGCGAAAGCCUGAUGCAGCAACGCCGCGUAGGGGAUGAAGGUCUUCGGAUCGUAAACCCUUUUUCUGGGGGACGAGAAAGGACGGUACCCCAGGAAUAAGUCUCGGCUAACUACGUGCCAGCAGCCGCGGUAAAACGUAGGAGGCAAGCGUUAUCCGGAAUUACUGGGCGUAAAGCGCACGCAGGCGGUUCCGUUAGUCCGACGUGAAAGCUCCUGGCUUAACUGGGAGAGGCCGUUGGAUACUGCGGAACUUGAGGUUGGGAGAGGAAAGUGGAAUUCCCGGUGUAGUGGUGGAAUGCGUAGAUAUCGGGAGGAACUCCAGUGGCGAAAGCGACUUUCUGGCCUACACCUGACGCUGAGGUGCGAAAGCGUGGGGAGCGAACAGGAUUAGAAACCCCUGUAGUCC